GACGAACGCUGGCGGCGUGCUUAACACAUGCAAGUCGAACGGAAAGGCCCUGCUUUUGUGGGGUGCUCGAGUGGCGAACGGGUGAGUAACACGUGAGUAACCUGCCCUUGACUUUGGGAUAACUUCAGGAAACUGGGGCUAAUACCGGAUAGGAGCUCCUGCUGCAUGGUGGGGUUUGGAAGGUUCGGCGGUUGGGGAUGGACUCGCGGCUUAUCAGCUUGUUGGUGGGGUAGUGGCUUACCAAGGCUUUGACGGGUAGCCGGCCUGAGAGGGUGACCGGCCACAUUGGGACUGAGAUACGGCCCAGACUCCUACGGGAGGCAGCAGUGGGGAAUAUUGCACAAUGGGCGGAAGCCUGAUGCAGCAACGCCGCGUGCGGGAUGACGGCCUUCGGGUUGUAAACCGCUUUCGCCUGUGACGAAGCGUGAGUGACGGUAAUGGGUAAAGAAGCACCGGCUAACUACGUG
rnacentral:rRNA from 1 species